UCUCUUCAUAAUCCUCCCAGUAUGAAUAUUCCAUUUGCUGUUUUCCAGUCAGAUGGUACCAGUUUUGGCUCAAAUUGUUUAUUAAAACAUUUUCUGUUGGACUGAUUCUAUCAUGCAACAUUUCUUGUACAAUUUUGGGAUGGAGAUUAUUUAGUUGCGCUAACGUGCUACUAUCUUAUUUAUUUUCAAAUCAGAUCAAUACAUUUCUGUUGCAGGUUCUUGUUCCCAGUAAUUAUUUUGCUUCCAUAUUUUGUAACUGUGUUCUCCCUGAAAAUUGGUAGAAAUUCAUUAGGAUUUUGAAAUCUACCCAGAGAAGCUUCUGCGUUUUUUGAAAGAUGCAUGAUUCUAAACAUUAUUUUUUCUUCUUCUACAGAAUUAUACCAGCAUAAUUUGAUAGUAGACAUCUCUAUAAGUACACUAUCACAAAGUUCACAUAAACUACCACAACUCCAAAUUCAUCUGAUUGUUUUCUUUAGUGAAUUUAAGAAAAAAAAUAAAUAAAUAUCAAACUAUACCCAUCUGAAACAGAAGUCUGACAAGGAACCUAAAUUCAUCUUGGGGUUCCUAUAAGAAAGCUUACUAAAUCUGUUGACACAAUCCUUUCAAAUGUUUUGUAGAAAACAGGGAUAAAAUGGAUUCCUAUUUUCCAAAGACUUUGUACGUUUUAACUAAAACAAUAUAUUUGUAGAUAUAUAUAUACAAAACUUUAUUGAUGUUACCUGAAAAAUUUAAUUCAUCAAAUCAUUUUAUAUACUUGAUUAAUAUAUAGAAACAAAGAUUUGUGUUCAGAAAUAUGCUCAAGCCUAAGAAAAUAAUUGAAAUAGUAAUAUAUUAAUAAAUAUUACUGGUAUAACAUAGUUCAAAGAAAAUAUGUCUAAUUAUACAGCCAAUGAUAAAAAGAAAGGAGGAAAAUUGAAAGGGAAAGGGGAAAGGAAGCAUAUGCAAAUCCUAGAUCAAAUUCAUCCUUUACUCCAUAUUGUAACUUAUCUUUAUCUUUACUCUGAUUGACAACUACAGGCUUUCCAGGCUGGAUGUGGCUCUGGGCAGCCUAGUCUAGUGGUUGGCGACCCUGCACAUAGCAGGGGGUUUGAAACCUGAUGAUCAUUGUGGUCCUUUUCAACCCAGGCCAUUCUAUGAUUCUAUGAUUUAUUUUUAGGUACUGUGAUAUGACCAUUAGGCAGACAGCCCUAGAGGGAAAUAAUAGAAGUCCAAUAUUUUCUGGCUUAAUGUAAGUGUGCUCACGGUAUUUCCAAACCUUGUUGUUAGAUAGGGAUCUAGGCUACAAUAUUCAGUAUAUUUUCAAGCAGAACCCAGAAGUGUAAAGUAAAAGUUAAAUUUUAAGUUAUAGAGAUAAUAAGGUUGCACGAAAAUCUUCAAGAUGUUGCACUCCAUCAAAAUUCUGCAUGAGCAGAGCAGAAGUAUCUUUUAUUGCCACUGUGAAAAGCAAUGAGAAGUACAAGACAAGCCUACAAAACCUACAACUUUGCAGCACAAUUGCAACUUGAAGCUUUGUGAACAUGAUAUCUAUCACAUAGAGUAUCCAAUUCAAGAGUAUUUAUAAAAUGAUACAUUCAGCCACUGUUCAAGAGCAUUAUAAUUUGCAAGGAACUGAGUUUCUUAUGUAGAAUUUCAAAGGUAGCUCCACUUUCUCACAGAUUAAUCUGGAACAAACUAAAACUUCAGGCAAGCUUGGAUCCAGCACCUAAACCAUUUAAGAUGCAAAGGUGGGAAUCAAAGCACAGCAGUAAUUCAAAAUUAAGAAAGCAAUGCCAUGGCAGGUAGUUCCUGUUUUUUUACCACCUAUUUUCAGCCUGACAAGGCUACUACUAGUACAAUUUUAAUAGCUCAGUGAUUUUAACAGACAUGAAGAACCAAAAGAAAGCAGCAUUUCUGUGUUUCAUCUUAUUUUACAUAAAUAUCAUGUCAAAACUACUCUUCAGGUGAAAACUUAAAGACAACUAAUAUUUUUUGCUAGACAAAAGAAAAGCUUGAUAAACUUCUGGGCACUCAGCUCUUCUUCAGGAUUGCAGAAAAACAAUGGCCCAUUUUU
rnacentral:lncRNA from 1 species